UAGGGAAUCUUCCACAAUGGACGAAAGUCUGAUGGAGCAACGCCGCGUGAGUGAAGAAGGGUUUCGGCUCGUAAAACUCUGUUGUAAGAGAAGAAUGACAUUGAGAGUAACUGUUCAAUGUGUGACGGUAUCUUACCAGAAAGUCACGGCUAACUACGUGCCAG
rnacentral:rRNA from 1 species